UACGUAGGGUCCGAGCGUUGUCCGGAAUUAUUGGGCGUAAAGGCUCGUAGGCGGUUCGUCACGUCGGGAGUGAAAACUCGGAGCUUAACUCCGAGCCUGCUUCCGAUACGGGCAGACUAGAGGUAGGCAGGGGAGAGCGGAACUCCUGGUGUAGCGGUGGAAUGCGCAGAUAUCAGGAAGAACACCGGUGGCGAAGGCGGCUCUCUGGGCCUUACCUGACGCUGAGGAGCGAAAGCAUGGGGGAGC
rnacentral:rRNA from 1 species